rnacentral:rRNA from 1 species
UACGGAGGGUGCGAGCGUUGUCCGGAAUCACUGGGCGUAAAGGGCGCGUAGGCGGCUCGUGAAGUCAGUGGUGAAAGCCCAGGGCUCAACUCUGGGUCGGCCACUGAUACUCGCGAGCUCGAGUUUGGUAGAGGCAGAUGGAAUUCCUGGUGUAGCGGUGAAAUGCGCAGAUAUCAAGAGGAACACCAGUGGCGAAGGCGAGUCCCUGGACAACUUCUGACGCUGAGGCACGAAAGCUAGGGGAGCAAACAGG